rnacentral:sRNA from 1 species
GAGAGAGACAGACAGACAGACAGACAGACAGACAGACACAGAGAGAAUAAUGAUGAAACAGAGCUGUGUUAUCCUAGGAAGUCGUAGGUAAUUACCCAGCCUGAAUUUCUCCAGGAGUUUCUGGAUCGUGCCAGAUGUGCUCAGGCCUCUGUGCACCAUCCCACAGAGCAGGCAUCCAGAGCCUACCUCCUCUUUCUGGCUGUUCCUCACGUCUGGGAACACAUCAAAGGAGGGUUGAUGUUCAUAACCGCUGUGAGUCAUUUUCACAUAGAGCUGCAGGGAGCUGCCUGCACUGCUGCUUGCUGUAUUCAACCCUUUGUAGGAGCAGCUGAGCUAAACCAAUCCCCUAUUAUGGGCGAGAGUAGAGCCCUCCUGGGAGACGUGAUUUGCCCCCCACACCUCUAUGCUCAAUAUAAAAGAUCUUUUUUUUUUUUUAAAUUUGAGAAAUAGUUAUUAAAACAUCCUGGACUUGGUCUUGGACUAGGCAUUCCCAGCACCCACAGGGACAGCUCUGCAGGUUCCUUCCUCAGGGGUGUGACCACCCCAGGCCCUGUUGUCGGUAUCAAUGACUUCUGAAGCCUCCCGGUUUGUUUCCUUCAGAGGACAAAGAAUGUCAACAAGAGUCCAACGCUGCCACAAUUCUUCUCUACAGGAAGACAAAUGUCGCUGGGCCCUGCUGAGUGGGCCCAUGGUUGGAAACAGUGUCCCGUGUGCCAUCCUUUGAGGGCUGACAGAAGCUUGGGAAAGUAAAGCUAAAAGAUGGCAGAGCUGGAAGAGGGCUUAGUCAUCAUCUAAUUCCAGGACCUCAAGCUACAAUAUCACAAACGAGUGUUAGAGACGCUCCCGACUGGAACAGCAGUGAUGCCCUUCUGCUCUUUUGGUGAAACUGUGGAGCAGCAACCAGGAUCCUGUCAGUGUAUGGAUGUCAGCUUCUGCUGCAGGCCUUGCCAAGGCUGCUGCUGCCACUGCUGCUGCUGCCGCAAAUGCCACCAAAGCUCAGAAAUACAGACAGAAUCACUCCUUGGAGGAGGAAUUAUUUCUGGAGCAAGAGGCUCUUACAAAAUGAAUCCAUGACCAGACUUUCCCCCAGUAAUACUAGAAGACACAAAGAGACCCGGGUACGCGGAGCUCUUCAGUGAGGCUCGGCACUCACAGUAGGUAGGGCCUGUUGCCAACUGUACUCCCACCGCUUUGAGAACUCCAGCUGAUUCUGGACAAGAGUUCACACCAGGCCACCGAAAGGACAGAUGCCUCUGGGUGGAUUCCAGCUGUAGCCAUGGCACAUUCUAGUCACGGUGAAGUAGAAGGUGAUGUGAACUUGGGAGGGGAAGUGCUCCUUUGUGGGACCAAUAGUCCUGAAACUGCAGGAGGGAUUAAAACCGAUUGAACAAUAGAGUUGAUGGACAACCCUGGUUAAAUUAGGGAGAAGGCAGCUCAGAAGCCAUGUAGCUCUGGCCCCCAUCAGCAGAGGUCAGGUGAAGAACAGAUUUUUUACUAGACCCCACACUAAUGCCUUUCAAAUGUAUUUCCUUCUGGUACCCGCUUUGUCUGGAAUACUCCACGGGCCUCUACGUCUCCAGCUCUUUCUCACUAAUAUAAAAUAAGCUCAUUGGAAUGAGGGGAGAGGAUGGUUUUACUUUGACUUAAACACUAAUGAGCACUUUCACUUUGUCAUAGUGUAAAUAUUAAAGUUAUAAGAGACAGCCCAGGGACGAAUUAAUUACUUUAAAGAGCCAAAGUGCUUGCACAGUGUCUAAACCUCUGUGCUGGGGAGCUAUAUCCUCACUGACACAGAGCCUCUGGUUCUCUGAAACCAGUCCCCAAGUGCUCCCCGGUGCCAGCCAGGAUGGAAGUCCUCGAAACCCCAAGGGAUGUUGAAACUGGAAGCCUUAUAGUCUUUUAUGUAACUCAUCAGCUUGUAGGUGGGAAACAGAACGUGGAAAGUAUCCAGUUCUACAAUUGGUUCUGAAGGGCCAUGAUUAGAGCACAGGUCUGAACCUGUUCAGUUGAGUCCUUUUCUAACCCUCCAUCUUGGUGGGAAAGCACAAUGGCCAGACCAGUGAGGUUUCACAGAGCCUACAAUGAUUUCAUCCCUCAAAGGGCGUCUUCAUCACCUCUUUGUAGUUCUCCUGCGCUUGAGUGGGUGGACAUGGUAUUUACUCACGGCUUUCUAUUUUGCCAUAAAAACACCUGUAACUAUUCCCUUUACAUCUCAGAACUGUUGACAAAGUAACUCCUUGGCUGCACUGGUCACUUUUAAAGGGCAGGGCAGGCACCCAGGAUGAAUUGCUUCCUGCCACCCGCUAGGCUUUUCUUUGAACUCACCUCACCUCAAUCCUCACAACCUAGCAGAGAUGACCUGUUUAUUUGAAUUUGUGAGAAUUAAUGAGUUUAUUUGUUUUUUUUUUUUUUGUUGUUGUUUGUUUUUUUUCAGGGAAUCAUGGCCAAGAAUAAUCUUCUGGAUUUGGGAUAGCUGACAUGACAUUGAGUCAUAGAUUAAGAACAAGACAGGCUGGGUUCCUUCCACUUCUCUCAUGAUAAGAGACUGGGCAGCUCGUCUUAACAAUGGAAGAAGUAGGCUUUUUGGGAGUGUGUGCUUUGUAGAAGUAUGGUGGCCUUUAGGUUUACAGGCUAAGGGGACUGACUAGUGACUUAAACUGGGAACCGUUGAAUCUCUCCUGUUGUUGAUGUCAUCGCCACAUAUAAACAACCCGCCUCGAAGGUUUUGCUUCAGCGGUGUUAUAAAGUGAGGGGCUUCAUGUGCUCCGGUUGUGCAGGAAGCCUGAAAUCAGAAUGGAGGAAACACAUAUCCAUCUAUCUGGAGUACAGAGUGGUAUCCAGCUCAGAGGUCGGAGGCAGCCAAAGAGCCAGGCACGAUAUGAAGACAGAGAGGCCAGGACUUCCUGCUUCAUCACCUGACUGACAUCUGUGGGUUCAGACUUAGUGUUAGAGCAAAUGGCCUUCACGUUUCUGUGAAGCAACUCAAGCAAACCGAUAGCAUCGCAGGCUUCAGAAGUGUUUUUCAAGGCCACAGGGGACCCAGUGCUGAAUUGCUUGGCUGUGUGAACUUCAGAUUAGUGAUUUUUAAAAGUCAGGACAAAAUGUGAUUUUGCUGUAACAGAUUGCCUGACACUUGAGCUGAUUGUGGGGCCUUGCAGAGGACAUUUGGUGUGACGAAGCUUUGGCUCACUAAUGGUUCUUGCUCAAUUUUUAUUUGUCAUUUGUGUAGCCAUUUCUUACUCCACUAGCUUUAACUCAGGUCUGGUCACAGGGGCUUCUAGUGGCCCAUUCUGGUGUCUUAUGACAAUAAUGCUGACUAUGUGCUUCUAGGGGAGGUGAAGGGCCCGCAGCUUGUUGCCUUUUGUCCCUUUGCUGUGGUCCCUGCCUACCCUGCUACCCUCUCUCCUUGACGCUCUGGAAGGAUUUGGACAUAAGCAUUAUUUUACUUUUGAGUAAGAGUCGUGCACUAAGCAGAUUAACCACUUAGCUUGUGUUUCUGAGCCAAAAUAGCAGAGAGCUUCACUGGAAGUUUGAAGAGUUAACUUGAGAAAAGGGGCCAGUUCUGUUUUCUAUAGUAGUUAACAAACGUUAGGAACUCCUUGGUCCAGGAUCAGAGCAUACGGCUGCAUACUUUACAGAAAUUCAGUUCAGAGGCAUAUAUUCAUGACAGACCACUUUCAGAGCCAGUACGAAUGUCAUAAUGUCGUAAUAUCAUAACCUACUGUUUGAAAGAUACAUUUUUAGACGUUUUGCUUUCUCAUUUUAAAAGAACAUCUGCAUAAUGUCCCUAAAUUGAAGAAAGCUACUUUGGGGGGAGGGGAAAGGAAGCAUUGCUCAAAGCACCUUGCAUAGAUGCACGAAGGAAACGAUCCAAGAUCCCCCUGUCCAGAGAAAACAACCACGCAGUUGGUAGAUUUCCUUGUAGGCUUUGGUUUUAAGUGCACUUUCUUACAUUGUUUGGAAACUUCAUAUUGUACAUUCAAUUUUACGAUCACUCUUUCCCAUUUAUGCUGCAGCAAAAUAUUUUCCCCCGGUGAUUUGAAACUGUUCAAAGUGUAAUUUUUGAACGUUAUUUUUAAUUAUAAACUGACAAAUUACAGCUGUAUAUAUUUAUAGGCUACAAAGCGAUACGAUGAUUCAUGAUUAACACGAUGCAACAUCUAAAUCAAGAAACUGUCUUAUGAGAGG